rnacentral:rRNA from 1 species
GCACGAAUGGCGUAACGAUGGCCACACUGUCUCCACCCGAGACUCAGCGAAGUUGAAAUGUUUGUGAAGAUGCAAUCUACCCGCGGCUAGACGGAAAGACCCCAUGAACCUUUACUGUAGCUUUGCAUUGGAUUUUGAAUAGACCUGUGUAGGAUAGCUGGGAGGCUUUGAAGCGGUGUCGCCAGACAUCGUGGAGCCGACGUUGAAAUACCAGCCUGGUGUGUUUGAGAUUCUAACCUAGACCCCUUAUCGGGGUUGGGGACCGUGCAUGGUAGGCAGUUUGACUGGGGCGGUCUCCUCCCAAAUUGUAACGGAGGAGUACGAAGGUAUCCUAGGUACGGUCGGACAUCGUACUGAUAGUGCAAUGGCAAAAGGAUGCUUAACUGCGAGACUGACAAGUCGAGCAGAUACGAAAGUAGGUCAUAGUGAUCCGGUGGUUCUGUAUGGAAGGGCCAUCGCUCAACGGAUAAAAGGUACUCUGGGGAUAACAGGCUGAUUCCUCCCAAGAGUUCAUAUCGACGGGGGAGUUUGGCACCUCGAUGUCGGCUCAUCACAUCCUGGGGCUGUAGCCGGUCCCAAGGGUAUGGCUGUUCGCCAUUUAAAGUGGUACGUGAGCUGGGUUUAAAACGUCGUGAGACAGUUUGGUCCCUAUCUGCCGUGGGCGCUGGAAAUUUGAAGGGACCUGCUCCUAGUACGAGAGGACCGGAGUGGACGUAUCUCUGGUGGACCGGUUGUCAUGCCAAUGGCAUAGCCGGGUAGCUAAAUACGGAAGAGAUAAACGCUGAAAGCAUCUAAGCGUGAAACUCGCCUCAAGAUAAGAUAUCCCGGGGACUCGAUCCCCCUGAAGGGUCGUUGUAGACCACAACGUUGAUAGGCCGGGUGUGGAAGCGCAGCAAUGCGUUAAGCUAACCGGUACUAAUUGCCCGUGCGGCUUGACCCU